GAGAGAUCCCUUCCUCUCCCACCCAGCCAGCAAAUUCAUUCAACUCCGUCGAUCCCCAGAGCAAAAACAAGCAUUAAUGCAGAUGAAUCCUGACUGCUGAGGUUACGGCUGAGAAGGUGAGCUGCUUUAUCGGUUUCUUGUCUUCACCAACGAUGUGGAACCUUCAAAACCUGCAGCUCAUGUUGUGCACAGCUCUGAGCUGUGUGAGCGGCGCCGCAGGUUUGAUCCGUGUGUUUGGAUACGAGGGA